GGAUUAGAUACCCUGGUAGUCCACGCCGUAAACGAUGUCUACUAGUUGUCGGUUGUCUUGUACGACGGGUAACGCAGCUAACGCGAUAAGUAGACCGCCUGGGGAGUACGGCCGCAAGGUUAAAACUCAAAUGAAUUGACGGGGGCCCGCACAAGCGGUGGAGCAUGUGGUUUAAUUCGAUGCAACGCGAAGAACCUUACCUACUCUUGACAUCCAGAGAACUUGCCAGAGAUGGCUUGGUGCCUUCGGGAACUCUGAGACAGGUGCUGCAUGGCUGUCGUCAGCUCGUGCCG
rnacentral:rRNA from 1 species